AAUACCGGAUAAGUCUUUACGGAGAAAGCUUUAUGCACCAUUGGAUGAGCCUGCACUUGAUUAGUUUGUUGGUGGGGUAAUGGCCUACCAAGACUGUGAUCAAUAGCUGAUUUGAGAGGAUGAUCAGCCACAUUGGGACUGAGACACGGCCCAUACUCCUACGGGAGGCAGCAGUGGGGAAUCUUGUACAAUGGAGGAAACUCUGAUGCUACUAUGCCGCGUGAGUGAAGAAGGCCUUUGGGUUGUAAAGCUCUUUC
rnacentral:rRNA from 1 species